CCUACGGGAGGCAGCAGUGAGGAAUAUUGGUCAAUGGACGCAAGUCUGAACCAGCCAUGCCGCGUGCAGGAAGACGGCUCUAUGAGUUGUAAACUGCUUUUGUACGAGGGUAAACGCAGAUACGCGUAUCUGCCUGAAAGUACCGUACGAAUAAGGAUCGGCAAACCUGGUGCCAGCAGCCGCGGUAAUACGGAGGGGUCAAGCGUUGUCCGGAUUUAUUGGGUUUAAAUGGAGCGUAGGGGGUUGGAUAAGUUAGAGGUGAAAGCACGGGGCUCAACUGCGGAAGUGCCUGUGAUACUGUUCGGCUUGAGGGUAGUUGCGGUAGGCGGAAUGUAAGGUGUAGCGGUGAAAUGCUUAGAGAU
rnacentral:rRNA from 1 species